CACGUAGGGCGCAAGCGUUGUCCGGAAUUACUGGGCGUAAAGCGUGCGUAGACGGCUAUCUAAGUCGGGUGUGAAAGCCCCGGGCUCAACCUGGGAAUUGCAUUCGAGACUGAAUAGCUAGGGUACGGUAGAGGGAAGCGGAAUUUCCGGUGUAGCGGUGAAAUGCGUAGAUAUCGGAAGGAACAUCAGUGGCGAAAGCGGCUUCCUGGACCAGUACCGACGUUCAGGCACGAAAGCGUGGGGAGCAAACAGG
rnacentral:rRNA from 1 species